UGGCUUUCCGCAUGCGCAGUGUGAACGCGCGGGACCGUCCCGGAAGACAAACAGUGGAAGGCUAACGUUUGGGAAAGCUCCGUACUUUGAAACAAAGGAGACAGUGACGAGCAGCAUGGCAGACGACGACUUCAACCAAUCCCUCACCCCUCCAGUCUCCCCUCCAGAUGGUCUGUGCGAGCUUUCCCCAGCCAGACCACCAUGGUUCUGCUGCUCUGAAGCUAAGGAGGAUCCAACUGGAGCACUCUCAAAUGAGGGAUACACUGCUAGAGGUUCAGUGAAAAGGCUGCUGCUGUGUCUAGAUCCAGCCCCCGCAGACUAUGAGAGCGACACAGUGGAGCUCUUUGGUUUAACCUGGGUUACAGAGACCGCAUUGGUUGAAUCAACAAGGCUGCUCUUUGGCUUACUCAGGCAAAAGAUAUACAGGCUUGAGACGAUGGCACAAUGCAUCUCACAUGACUUUGGUCAAAGAGGCAACCUUCACUCUGAGGCCUCUGAGAUCAGACAGCAGUGUGUUUCAUUUCUUCAAUAUGUUAAAGUCUUCCUACACAGAUACCUGAAGGUUUCCUGUAUCUUUGAUGAAAAUCCACCCCACCCUUAUGAGGAGUUGGAGGGUCAAGUUCCAUCUGUUCUAAUAGAGGAGUUGUUUGGCAUCAUUUUCCUCAUUGGACGUCUUAAAGACCUGCCUACCAACAUUCAGAAUGCUUUCAAGAUACAGAACCCUGGAAAGAUCUUUCCUCCCGUUUGGCAUUUGUUGCACCUUCACCUUGACAUCCACUGGUCAGUCUUGGAGAUCCUCCACCUAUUUGGCCAUAAGAUGCAAGGCCAUGUGGUUUAUGCACACCAGUUUGUGAACCUGACUGGAGAGAACUUGACUGAUACCAUUCUGUUUGAGGAGCACCUGUGCAGCCUCCUGUGUGACCUUACUGGCCUGGCCAUGGGCAAGUACAGCAAGGUGAGGCCGACAGAGGUUCUUAGCAGUCAUCAUUACCUCUGCUCCUGCACCAAAGAGCUGUGGAUCCUGGUCAUUCACCUUUUGCAAUUUAGGAAUAAAAGGCUACACUCACAGUCUUUUUGGAGCUAUAUGAACUCAUUGUUGAGGCCUCUAAUAUCAGGAAAACCUGCAGCUGAACGGUUCAGUGGCCUCCCUACACACUGCAAGGACCCUCUAGGCUUCACAUGGUGGCUGCUCACUCAUUUAGCAAUCUUAGGCCAAUACAAUCAAAAUGGAACAAUCUCGGAUGAGAAAUCCCUAGAUGACAACUGGACAUUCGUGGAAGAGUUGCUUAAAUUCACUUGUAAGCCACAGCGAGAUCUUGGAGAGGAGCAAGUCAGGAUGCAUGUGCACUGCUGUCUUUCUCUCUGUCUCCUCUGGAUCCCCAGUACCACUGCUGUCUCCACCCUCUGGGACUACUACAGCAAAAACCUGGGUGCCUCAUUCACUGUGCCGUGGCUUGGAGUGAGCGGCCUGGGCACUUUGUGUAAGACACCCCUGUCUCUGUUGGAGCAGGCACGCAACUGUUGUUUGCCUUCUCCCCUCCGCUCCUCAGGACACACCCAGUUGUACCUUUCAGCCAGUUCAUUCCACAUCUUCCUGCGAGUGCUCUCCCUGUGCCUGUCUCAGGACAGGGUUGGGGGAGUACCACAGAGACAGAUCAAAGCAAGGAUUUUCUCUAAGUUUUCCUCAAAGAAGAUGCAGGAGCUGUCGGAGGCUGGCCUCAUGAACUUCCUGCUACUGUUUCUGGUGAUUGCCAGGAAGGUGGAGCUGGAGGAUGUUGCCAGUAAAACCUGUGAGCUGCUAGGUUUCCUGCCAUCUGACUGUCCCCCAGGACACCGCACGCUGGUGUGGAAGGGACAACUGGCACUGGUGUUGUUAUUUCAGGAGAAGGGCUUGGAUGUUGGCCCACUAGCUAGUGGGCUGGCCUCAUCAUUCAAUGAUACCGCUAAGGAGUUCUACAAUAAAACUACAGAGAUGUCUCGUAAACUUGCCCUCUGGGGGCCUCUUGGAUCAUACCUGGAGGGGGUGGCUGAAGUGUUCGAAACAAGCACCAGGCUCAACCUAUCAGAGGAAAAACUUCUCAAUGAAGGCUUUGUUUGGUUGCUGCCAGCCUGCCGUCAGCACGAACUAAACUCUUUACUUGGCUUUCUCCAGACUGUCCUCGCCCAGCUCAGACUGGCGCAUCAACGCUGUGUCCAGUCAGGCCCCACCUUGACCUGGAUGACUACCAGCAAUGUUGUGAAAGAGCCCCACCUAGCGGUAGCAGCUGCACUCUGGGCCCACUUCUUUCCAUUCCUUCGGGAUUUACGCCUCUCUCAGACUCCUCCAGCCCAGUUUGCAGAUGCGGCUGCAGGCUUCACUCUUCUGGCCUUUGAGCUGCCCACUUCUGCACCCCAGGACCUUCAACCCAAUCCAGUUCAGUCCAUCUUGCAAUGCUUCGGCUGGGAUGACAUGGUUGAUCCACUUGUUGUCACGCGGUACCUUCCACAUCUACUCCAAAACAGAGCGCUCGUGUCUUCACUCAGCGGUGAUCGUGGCAUCAUUGUCUCAGGUUCAUCACAAAGUAUGUCAGUCAGAGCCUGGUUCAGAUGUGUUCUACAGCAAUACCUUCACAAGAGCCCUGAUGGAUCUGAUAGCAGAGCAGACCGGGCUUUGGAGGAGCAGCUGUGUGAACUGACUCGCCUGGUGCUGAUGCUUCCUGAGGUGGACAGUCUUCUGCAGAGAGCAAACCUCUGUCCAACGGCCUCCAUGACAAAGCCCGUCUCAGCGCUGGAGAUGUUUGUAAAGGCUGUAGGCAUGGUGUACAGCAGACUGCAGGUUUUGUCUGAGCGUUCUGCCAUGGUGACCAGAGCGCUGGACUACAUGGGAGACAUCCUUAAACAUAUUAAACCCUCUUUGGUCAGCAAGAAUCAGAAAGGAAUUCAACUGGCAUAUUGGGUCGUUGGCUGUGUAGUGAAGCAUUGGAGCCUCCUGCUGGUCACAUCCAAAGCGCAGCAGUUGCUCUUCCGCAUUGUGGAUCGACUGCUACUCCCCCACAAUGUCACUCAGCAAGACAAAGCUCUCCGGGACAGCCUGCCACUCUAUCUACAGAAAUCAAGGAUCUCGUUUGAUGUCCGUCCCGUGUCUGAGAUGCACAAAAAUGAGCAGGGACGCAUAAAACAUGAUCAGUCUGCGUCCAUCAACGCUCAGACGCCCAGCAUUGCUUACCUGCGUGUGUAUGUGUGCGCGUGCAUGUGUGUGCGUGCACCCCUGUGUGUUGCUGAAGUGCUUCAGCCAAUCAUUAUCCACAAAAAAAGAGUCCUGUCUUGAUGCUAGCCAAUCAGAGGCAGAGGAGGGCGGGUUACCAUUCCAAAAGUACAACAGACUUUUCCCCAUCCAUACCACCCAUUCUCAACACCGCAUAUCCUGGUUAGGUUCAUUGGGCGCUGCAACCUAUCCCGGGUGACUUCUGGCGAAAGGCAGAUUACACCCUGAACUGGUCGCCAGUCAGUCGCAGAAUUUGCUAUCAUGGCAGGCCUAAACACAAUAUAUUGAGCGAGAGUAAGAGCAAUGGAUAACACAAAUAUUGUGAAUAAAAUUGUGAAUUGUGAUUAAAAAUCUGCAAUAUAGCGGGACCGCGAAGCAAAAACCGUGACAGAGCGGAGGAUUACAAUAUCUGUAUUCCGUAAUGAUAAAUUGCAGGGAUUCAUUGUUUCCAUCACGUGUAUCCUCACAUAGUCUCAACUGUAAAACGAUGUAUGAAUAAGUAUUAGUUACUAUUUCAUAUUUAGUCAGCCCAGUACUUGUACUGUAAAUCCUGCAGGUAAAUAAAUGUACCUUGAGACCAUUCCCAUAACUGUGCGUAAAAUUAACUACUUCACGUAUACACGCGCGCGCACGCACACACACACACACAAUCCAGCCUGCUGCAACACAGCGCGCUGACGGCAGCGUCUUUGUCACCAAAACUAUUUUGAAUUAAGAAAGAAGGCUUCUUUCACGCUGAUUGAUACAAGAAGACACAAGGUGAUUAUAUUAUGAUUAAACGGGACUCAGAGCAACCCAAAAGAUAGUUCUAAAUAGUCUGCAAAGCAGCCUCGCUGAACGGCUUCGUCAAAGAGCGACAGACAGGGUUAGCAAUUUUGACGCAUUCAGACAACUUCAAAUAGAAGUUUACCAAGUGUGAAUUAUUUUGUGACAAGCAAGCUUUUGCAUUUAACGAGGUCAUAAAUCAGUAGUGUCGUUUGUAGAUUAGUGACUUCACGUACGUGACGUUUCCACCAAUUACGUAGCUGCAUGGACUGUCAUUAUAAACCAUCCAUCCAUCUGACCAUUUUCUACCGCUUAUCCGAGGUCGGGUCGCCGGGGCAGUAGCUUUAGCAGAGACGCCCAGACUUCCCUCUCCCCAGCCACUUCACUUAUCUCUUCCGGGGGGAUCCCGAGGCGUUCCCAGGCCAGCCGAAAGACGUAGUCUCUCCAGCGUGUCCUGGGUCAACCACGGGGUCUCCUCCUGGUGGGACAUGCCCGGAACACCUCACCAGGGAAGCGUCCAGGAGGUAUCCAAAUCAGAUGCCCCGGCCACCUCAUCUGGCUCCUCUCAAUGUGGAGGAGCAGCAGCUCUACUCUGAGCUCCUCUGGGAUUACCCAUCUUCUCACCCUAUCGCUAAGGGGGCUGUCAGUGGCUUCUGGUGUGUCCCAGUCGCAAGGAGGGUACCUGAAGCAGCAGCUGCACGCUGUCAUCCGAAGAUAUCUCGACCAUUUCCUUCCUGCCUCAUCUUCAUUGGGCAGCAUUGCCAAU